rnacentral:lncRNA from 1 species
AUUCUUUGUUUUUUGGUCAGGCGCCAGAACAAAUAAAGCGGAUGGUUUGCCGACACGUGAGUAUGCCACGUACAAUUGACCAUGAGAAAAACAUUCAUUUUCUAGAUUGAGGCCACAAAUAGUCAAGGAUUGGCCCUGUGACUUGUUGGUCGUCAUGGCGAAGGCAAGACGAAUCGGGAAUUGAAUUCGUUUAAACUCAAGGGGCAUAUCCGUUGGGAUCAUCGGAAUCCUUGAAUUAAGAACUUCCUUAUCUUUAAAUUUUCCUUUAAGUAUCGACGCGUGAAUCACAUUGCUCAUCAGUUUUCUUAUCACCAAACGAGUUCCAUUGCACAAUUUUGGUUGGUUUAAAUUUCUACGCAUGAUGACUACCGAGCCAACUUUAAGUUUUAAAUUGUGUGGUGGUAAACCAGGCACAUCCAAGGAGUUUAAAAAUGCAGUUGGGUAAUUAGUGGCUUCUUCUUCGUUUGUUACACAGUCGAUAGAUUUGAAUGAAUACCGAGUACAUACGAUUUGAUUUUGAAUUAUAAAAUUGAGGUCAUCUACAUCUUUAUUUUUAGCGGCCAAAAUUGCUCGCUCACUUAACCAUUUAUUAUUUUUGUGGUUAGCAAUGAUAUCCGGAAUACUUUGUUGAUAAGCUCGUCUUUUGAUGAUACGAAAUUGCAACAAUUUGGAGGAAAUGAAAUCAAAUCGCUCGAUUUGUCAACAGGAACACGGCCAUUCAACAAUGCAACUCUCAUAUUUACAGACAGUUGAAGUUUCUUUACAUAUCACAGAUUUGAUGCUUUGAGGCAAGCGUUUAUUUCGUCUGCAGCAGUAGAUUUUGGAAUAAUUGGUAGUGUUUGUCGGAAAUCGCCGGAUAAUAAAAUCAUUGCACCACCAAAACAUCUCGAGUCAUUGCGCAGAUCUUUUAAUGUUCGGUCUAGUGCUUCCAAUGCGCGUUUGUGCGCCAUGCGCAUUCGUCCCAUAUGAUGAUUUUUGAUGCUACUAAAACUUUGGCCAUUGCGGAGUUUUUCGAAAUGUUACAUGUCGGUUGUUCAGUAGUUUGAAGGUUUAAUGGCAAUUUUAACGCUGAGUGAGCCGUACGGCAUCCGUUUAACCAUGUGGCCGCUAUUCCAGAAGAAGCAAUUGCUACCGCAAUUUCGGAUCUCGCACGUACAGUGGCCAAAAUCAAUGACAUGAGGAAUGUCUUCCCAGUUCCACCAGGGGCAUCAAAAAAAAAAAGCCGCAAUUCUCCAAUUGCAAUUCUCUACUAAAUGCGUCAUUCAUUCCGCGAUCUGGCGCUGGCAUUCCUAACCUAACUAACAAACUGCCGCACAUGAGGUAACACAUAUCUUCGAUCAAGAGCAAAGUCUGGUUAUGGAUCUCCUCAUUCAGCUCAAGAUCGUAAUUUCUUGAGCUGACGCGAAUUCGAUGUAAAAUAUCUUCGGACAUGUUAUCUUUGUGUUUGUUCCACAGGUCAAGUGGUUUCGAUGGGAAGCAUGUUGAAAUGAUGAUGGCAAAUAAUGUGCGUAUCUGACUGGGAGAUGCAGAAAUAAUUGCUUCAGCGAUUGUCGUGUAUCAUUUUCAAGCAAAUUUAGCUCUUGACAUGCUGCACGAAAUGUGGGGCACACGAUACCAUUAACAGUUCGAAGUGAUUCAAAUGAUGUUGGCCCUCGAACAUGUACCAGCAACAACCUCAAAUAGAAACAUUCAUCAUUCUUCGGAUGAACUGUGUAAAUACGACCAAGAGCAUCAGUAGAACGCAUAUCUGGAUGACCAUCGCCUUGCUUCCGACGUUGAAAUUUCUUCGAUGUAGCGUUCAAAGUGUAAUAACGUGGCAUUUAAAAAAUCGCAAAGAAACUGGUCAGUGUUAUCGCUGGAGGUGUUUCGGCGCGUUGAGCAGCAUUCGACGCUGUGAAAUAUACUCUCUGACCGUUCUCUAGAUGCACCCCCAAAUGUAAAACAGUGGGAUGACGUUCCACAAACUGCUUCAUUGCAGUUCACAUAUCUACCAACUUGAUAGCGCGUGAUUUCAUCGUUGGUAUUGGAUGUUUGGAUACCAAAAACCGCCAUGUCGCUCCCUUUCGUGACAUAUUUGCAAAUGUAUUAAAUUGACUUGACCGAAUUGCAAUACUCAACAUUACAAUGUGCUUUGAAUGUUUUGGAAAGAAGUGGCGAAUAUAGAACAAUCCAACUGUUGUCUACUACGAAAUCGUUUCCUUUCACUUUAGUUGUGACAGUUUUACCAUUAUCAUCGGGCGAUCGACACCGAUACAAUGGAGUUUGGAACAGUUUGGAACACUUGCCGUCGACCAUGCACAGUGAUUGUCGGUUGAUAGUGCCACACGGUCCAUGAAUCAUAUUCGUGACUAACACAUCAUGUAGGUCUGGAUCGGUUUCAGGAGCAGGAAUCUCCGCACAUAUGAUG